rnacentral:tRNA from 1 species
AGGGCUGUAGUUAAAUAUAACAUUUGGGUUGCAUUCAAAAAGUAUUGAAAUUAUCAAUUAGCCUUA